CAGCCGCCGCGGUAAUACGAACCGUGCGAACGUUAUUCGGAAUUACUGGGCUUAAAGCGCGUGUAGGCGGGCCGCCACGUCGGUUGCUGAAAUCCCCCGGCUCAACCGGGGAAGUGGCAUCGAUACGAGCGGCCUUGAGGGGGGUAGGGGGAUCUGGAACUUCCGGUGGAGCGGUGAAAUGCGUUGAGAUCGGAAGGAACGCCCGUGGCGAAAGCGAGGUCCUGGACCCUUUCUGACGCUGAGACGCGAAAGCCAGGGGAGCGAACGGGAUUAGAUACCCGCGUAGUCCCUGUCUCUUAUA
rnacentral:rRNA from 1 species